AGCAUCCGCAGUCGGGCUGUGCAUUUGCUGUGUGUGCGCCAGAGAGAUUUUGCCGUUGCCUAAAGCCGUCAAUAAGUUAGUCUUCGACAAUGUUUGAGACGGAGAGCCAAAACUUGACACAAUAAUAGGUAUUUACCAAGUAAUCCUAAUAGACAGUUUUCAAGCCCUUGCACUUGGCUAUACCAUGGGAACAAAAGUAGUUCUUUGUUGUUAAAUGAAUUGAUAAUAAUUUCAAUAGUAAAUCUUUUGUAUUUUGUAAACUCUUGGGUAAUCCCAUUUCCACUCCUCAAGAACAUAAAAAGAAAAAUGGAAUUAAAUAAAACGCUGACAAUCUCUCGCUGGCCAAGCUGAAAUCCGGCAACAAAA